rnacentral:rRNA from 1 species
AUGGCGACAAUCAACAACUCUCUGACGAUGAUCAAGCACAACCAUGGGUGGAUCACCGAGCAUGAAGGAAAAGAAAAGCACUUUCCGGAAUUGGAUCACCGCUCUCUUGUGCACCUCCUCUUCGAGGGUGCUCCUCAACGGCAUCCCCAAAAAUCCUAUCACAAACGGUCAAGACCUUCGUCAAGGGGACCCCUCUCCCCCCUGCUUUUUCUCAUCACCAUCGACCCUCUUCAGAAAAUCCUUGGUAUGGCAACUAGGAAGGGGCUGCUGCACAAGAUUCGUGGUCGUGGUAUCAUCAUCAGAACUUCCCUCUACACCGACGAUGCGGCUAUGUUCGUCGCCCCCAUCAAGAAAGACACAGAUAAUCUCUCCGUCUUGCUUAAUGCAUUUGGGGACAUCACGAGCCUCCACAUGAACUUUCAGAAAAUCUCAGUGGUUCCAAUUAAGUGUGGCCACAUCCCCCUUGAUGAUAUUCUCCAAAGCUUGUCAGCUGCAGGCGCUUCAUUUCCAAUGAAAUAUUUGGGUCUACCCCUCUUGGAAUCCAUUGAGGAUCUCGUGUUCAAGUACGGAUACUCCAUGAGGCUCUGGGGCAUUAUCAAGGAAUGGCUUCAACUUGAAAGCAUCAACACUACCAACUGGCACUCGGCGCGUUCCAUCAAAGAUUGGUGGACAAUUCUUUGCAACUCUACCAUUCCAAACCAGAAGGCGAUGGCUACUCUCACACUUCUCACCUCUUGGACCAUCUGGAAGGAAUGGAACACCCGUAUCUUCCAACUCAAGAGCGCACACUAG